rnacentral:rRNA from 1 species
CCAGACUCCUACGGGAGGCAGCAGUGAGGAAUAUUGGUCAAUGGUCGGAAGACUGAACCAGUCAUGCCGCGUGCAGGAAGAAUGCCUUAUGGGUUGUAAACUGCUUUUAUAUGGGAAGAAUAAGGAGUACGCGUACUUUGAUGACGGUACCAUAUGAAUAAGCAUCGGCUAACUCCGUGCCAGCAGCCGCGGUAAUACGGAGGAUGCGAGCGUUAUUCGGAAUCAUUGGGUUUAAAGGGUCUGUAGGCGGGCUAUUAAGUCAGGGGUGAAAGGUUUCAGCUUAACUGAGAAAUUGCCUUUGAUACUGGUAGUCUUGAAUAUCUGUGAAGUUCUUGGAAUGUGUAGUGUAGCGGUGAAAUGCUUAGAUAUUACACAGAACACCGAUUGCGGAGGCAGGGGACUAACAGACGAUUGACGCUGAGAGACGAAAGCGUGGGGAGCGAACAGGAUUAGAUACCCUGGUAGUCCACGCUGUAAACGAUGGAUACUAGCUGUUUGGAGUAAUUUGAGUGGCUAAGCGAAAGUGAUAAGUAUCCCACCUGGGGAGUACGCACGCAAGUGUGAAACUCAAAGGAAUUGACGGGGGCCCGCACAAG